AAUAAUAUAUAGUCGUUGCAAUAUAGGGGAACGCAUGGUUGCAAUAGAUAAGUUUGUGGGUGCCGCCAGCUUGGUUAUGUUGGUGGGCCUUUAUUUUGGCCGACACAUAUGGCAGGUUUCACCAGCUGAGAGGUCUAAUCCUGAUCUAUCUCCUAGCACCGCCUCUCCUCCUUGUUCGCACGACUCCUCCGCUUCUUCUGGCGUGAUGCUGCCAUGCGACCGCCGCCUGCCAUCGUCUUUCCUAGCGCACGAGUUGCCGAGUGCCAAGGAAGAGUCCCCUUGUUAGUCCUCCACGAUCUUGUCACC
rnacentral:lncRNA from 1 species